CUUGUACACACCGCCCGUCACACCACGAGAGUUUGCAACACCCGAAGUCGGUGGGUAACCGCAAGGAGCCAGCCGCCGAAGGUGGGCAGAUGAUUGGGGUG
rnacentral:rRNA from 1 species